GGGGGUAUAGCUCAGUUGGUGGGGUGCUUGCCUCCCAUGUACAAGGCCCUGGGUUCAAUCCCCAGUACCACAA
rfam:Ictidomys tridecemlineatus contig078065, whole genome shotgun sequence.